CGUAACGUCUGCGGGGAUCCGUCCCUAGGUAACGGUAACUAUGUGUGACGUCUUUUCAUGGUGACAGAAAAUCAAAAGACAAGAUAUGGUCGACUAGUCGGCUAAAUAACGGUGCUUUUUAUAUUUUUAUUUUAACAAAAUGGAUUGGAGUUUGAAUACAAUAUAGCAGAAGUUGUAGAUUGGUGACGCUGCCGGACAGGAAGUGAUGGACUUCCGGUGGGGGAGGAGCCGGGGUGAGGAGGGCAUCGCCGUGGUGAUAAACUUCCUGCUGGCUAAUGCCCGAUUGGUCCUGGGAGUGGGAGGGGCCGCGGUGCUGGGCAUCGCUACGUUGGCUGUCAAGAGGUUGAUAGAACGUGCAGG